CUGCAUGAGGCGCCUGCGAAUGCUUAGGGGAAACUCUGAUGGAAGACCGAAACAGUUCUGACGUGCAAAUCGAUUGUCAGAAUUGAGUAUAGGGGCGAAAGACCAAUCGAACCCUCUAGUAGCUG
rnacentral:ncRNA from 1 species